rnacentral:lncRNA from 1 species
UAAAACGGCCUGACCUGACCUGUUCUUCCAUUUCCCUUCUGGACUGUACUGGAAAGGAAACAUCCCAACAAACACAUGGGAAAGCCAAGCCAACAACCAUGACUGCCACGUGUCGACAUCCUAUAGGCCGCCCUUCACAACAUCGAACCAGCUGCUCAUCAACCCUUUCAAGCUACGCGCACUGGAUUGGACCACUCAGCUUUCUACACAGCUCAUUUUGUGGGCUCCACUCCUACAUCCACCUAUAUAUAUCCCCCUUGCCGACGAUCCAUCUUCAUCUUCGUGCGCUGCAUCUUAAUUACACUUCUCAUUCUAUUAAUCUCUGCAAUUCUUCACAACACAUCUCAAGUGCUCCCUUCACUAGAAAUGGCACAAUUCACCAGUUUUACCGCCGUUGUGGUUGCAUGCUUCGCCUCCGUUUUCCUGGCAGCUGCUAAUGUAUCUGCGCAAACUGCACUUGCGCCAGCUCCUUCAAUGGAUACCGGAGCCGGCUUCUCUCUACCAAUGUCUGGUGCCGUUGUCGCAUCUUCUCUUCUUCUAUCACUGUUUGCUCUCUUGAGGCAUUAAUUGAUCAUCUCUCUCUCUCUCUAUAUAUAUAUAUAUAACAGUAAUUUGGGCUUUUGUUGCUUUGGAAUUUUAAUUUUCUUGAUUUUGUGGUGAGUGGCUGAUGUUUGCAUUGUAUUCAUUCUUUGAUGUUGAUUAUAUACAGAGCUAAAAUAAAAAUACAUAAUGGAAAAUAAUUCAUUUGUGUGUCUAAUUUGUUCCUUGCUAAACCUAUUUGAGAUUUUGUAUAAUUUCGACAAUAGGCCCUGGAAUUUAUGCUUAAUUGCCUAGAAAUUUUUUUUUUUUUUACAAAAGUAAGAGAAUAUAAAAUGUAAUUUACAAUAAGACCUUGAUAUUUAAUGAAAUUCACAAUUAAGUAUUGUUAUUUUUACUUUUACUGUUAUUCUAAACAUAAUAUACAAC